GUGCCAGCCGCCGCGGUAAUACGGAGGGUGCAAGCGUUAUCCGGAUUCACUGGGUUUAAAGGGUGCGUAGGUGGGUUGCCAAGUCCGUGGUGAAAUCUCCGAGCUUAACUCGGAAACUGCCGUGGAUACUGGUAAUCUUGAAUAUCGUGGAGGUAAGCGGAAUAUGUCAUGUAGCGGUGAAAUGCUUAGAUAUGACAUAGAACACCGAUAGCGAAGGCAGCUUGCUACACGAUUAUUGACACUGAGGCACGAAAGCGUGGGGAGCAAACAGGAUUAGAUACCCCCGUAGUCC
rnacentral:rRNA from 1 species